rnacentral:rRNA from 4 species
AGACCCGAAACCCGGUGAUCUAGCCAUGGGCAGGUUGAAGGUUGGGUAACACUAACUGGAGGACCGAACCGACUAAUGUUGAAAAAUUAGCGGAUGACCUGUGGCUGGGGGUGAAAGGCCAAUCAAACCGGGAGAUAGCUGGUUCUCCCCGAAAGCUAUUUAGGUAGCGCCUCGUGAAUUCAUCUCCGGGGGUAGAGCACUGUUUCGGCUAGGGGGCCAUCCCGGCUUACCAACCCGAUGCAAACUGCGAAUACCGGAGAAUGUUAUCACGGGAGACACACGGCGGGUGCUAACGUCCGUCGUGAAGAGGGAAACAACCCAGACCGCCAGCUAAGGUCCCAAAGUCAUGGUUAAGUGGGAAACGAUGUGGGAAGGCCCAGACAGCCAGGAUGUUGGCUUAGAAGCAGCCAUCAUUUAAAGAAAGCGUAAUAGCUCACUGGUCGAGUCGGCCUGCGCGGAAGAUGUAACGGGGCUAAACCAUGCACCGAAGCUGCGGCAGCGACACUGUGUGUUGUUGGGUAGGGGAGCGUUCUGUAAGCCUGUGAAGGUGGCCUGUGAGGGUUGCUGGAGGUAUCAGAAGUGCGAAUGCUGACAUAAGUAACGAUAAAGCGGGUGAAAAGCCCGCUCGCCGGAAGACCAAGGGUUCCUGUCCAACGUUAAUCGGGGCAGGGUGAGUCGACCCCUAAGGCGAGGCCGAAAGGCGUAGUCGAUGGGAAACGGGUUAAUAUUCCCGUACUUGGUGUUACUGCGAAGGGGGGACGGAGAAGGCUAUGUUGGCCGGGCGACGGUU